AGAGUUUGAUCAUGGCUCAGAUUGAACGCUGGCGGCAGGCCUAACACAUGCAAGUCGAGCGGUAGCACAGAGAGCUUGCUCUCGGGUGACGAGCGGCGGACGGGUGAGUAAUGUCUGGGAAACUGCCUGUUGGAGGGGGAUAACUACUGGAAACGGUAGCUAAUACCGCAUAACGUCGCAAGACCAAAGUGGGGGGCCUUCGGGCCUCAUGCCAUCAGAUGUGCCCAGAUGGGAUUAGCUAGUAGGUGGGGUAACGGCUCACCUAGGCGACGAUCCCUAGCUGGUCUGAGAGGAUGACCAGCCACACUGGAACUGAGACACGGUCCAGACUCCUACGGGAGGCAGCAGUGGGGAAUAUUGCACAAUGGGCGCAAGCCUGAUGCAGCCAUGCCGCGUGUAUGAAGAAGGCCUUCGGGUUGUAAAGACUUUCAGCGGGGAGGAAGGCGAUAAGGUUAAUAACCUUGUCGAUUGACGUUACCCGCAGAAGAAGCACCGGCUAACUCCGUGCCAGCAGCCGCGGUAAUACGGAGGGUGCAAGCGUUAAUCGGAAUUACUGGGCGUAAAGCGCACGCAGGCGGUCUGUCAAGUCGGAUGUGAAAUCCCCGGGCUCAACCUGGGAACUGCAUUCGAAACUGGCAGGCUAGAGUCUUGUAGAGGGGGGUAGAAUUCCAGGUGUAGCGGUGAAAUGCGUAGAGAUCUGGAGGAAUACCGGUGGCGAAGGCGGCCCCCUGGACAAAGACUGACGCUCAGGUGCGAAAGCGUGGGGAG
rnacentral:rRNA from 1 species